GCUGCCAUGGUUUGGGGCGGUUUGGGGCGGUUUGGGGCUGCUGUGGCUCGCAGCGGUUCGGGGCUGCUGUGGCAGCUCC